GAUGAACGCUGGCGGCGUGCCUAAUACAUGCAAGUCGAGCGAACGGACGAGAAGCUUGCUUCUCUGAUGUUAGCGGCGGACGGGUGAGUAACACGUGGAUAACCUACCUAUAAGACUGGGAUAACUUCGGGAAACCGGAGCUAAUACCGGAUGAUAUUUUGAACCGCAUGGUUCAAAAGUGAAAGACGGUCUUGCUGUCACUUAUAGAUGGAUCCGCGCUGCAUUAGCUAGUUGGUAAGGUAACGGCUUACCAAGGCAACGAUGCAUAGCCGACCUGAGAGGGUGAUCGGCCACACUGGAACUGAGACACGGUCCAGACUCCUACGGGAGGCAGCAGUAGGGAAUCUUCCGCAAUGGGCGAAAGCCUGACGGAGCAACGCCGCGUGAGUGAUGAAGGUCUUCGGAUCGUAAAACUCUGUUAUUAGGGAAGAACAUAUGUGUAAGUAACUGUGCACAUCUUGACGGUACCUAAUCAGAAAGCCACGGCUAACUACGUGCCAGCAGCCGCGGUAAUACGUAGGUGGCAAGCGUUAUCCGGAAUUAUUGGGCGUAAAGCGCGCGUAGGCGGUUUUUUAAGUCUGAUGUGAAAGCCCACGGCUCAACCGUGGAGGGUCAUUAGAAACUGGAAAACUUGAGUGCAGAAGAGGAAAGUGGAAUUCCAUGUGUAGCGGUGAAAUGCGCAGAGAUAUGGAGGAACACCAGUGGCGAAGGCGACUUUCUGGUCUGUAACUGACGCUGAUGUGCGAAAGCGUGGGGAUCAAACAGGAUUAGAUACCCUGGUAGUCCACGCCGUAAACGAUGAGUGCUAAGUGUUAGGGGGUUUCCGCCCCUUAGUGCUGCAGCUAACGCAUUAAGCACUCCGCCUGGGGAGUACGACCGCAAGGUUGAAACUCAAAGGAAUUGACGGGGACCCGCACAAGCGGUGGAGCAUGUGGUUUAAUUCGAAGCAACGCGAAGAACCUUACCAAAUCUUGACAUCCUUUGACAACUCUAGAGAUAGAGCCUUCCCCUUCGGGGGACAAAGUGACAGGUGGUGCAUGGUUGUCGUCAGCUCGUGUCGUGAGAUGUUGGGUUAAGUCCCGCAACGAGCGCAACCCUUAAGCUUAGUUGCCAUCAUUAAGUUGGGCACUCUAAGUUGACUGCCGGUGACAAACCGGAGGAAGGUGGGGAUGACGUCAAAUCAUCAUGCCCCUUAUGAUUUGGGCUACACACGUGCUACAAUGGACAAUACAAAGGGCAGCGAAACCGCGAGGUCAAGCAAAUCCCAUAAAGUUGUUCUCAGUUCGGAUUGUAGUCUGCAACUCGACUACAUGAAGCUGGAAUCGCUAGUAAUCGUAGAUCAGCAUGCUACGGUGAAUACGUUCCCGGGUCU
rnacentral:rRNA from 1 species